ensembl:lncRNA
AUGCAGCUAGCCAAAAAUGAUAAUAUAGAAAAGGUUCGUGGAGAUUCUCCAAAUAAGUUACUAAUUAAAAAUCAAUGUGAAUAUUCUAACACAUUCAUAAAUAAUAAAAUACAGAAUAUAAAUAAUAGUAUUGUUAACGUUGACAAAAACAAACCUAUAAUACCUAUGGUUAAUCCAAACAAUGCUAUAUUUGGUUAUGAUGAAAUAAAAAAUUAUGUUAUGCAUGAUAAUAUGGAUAAUAACAGUAUUAACAAAAGUAAUAUAAAUAACAUUGAGGGAAAUGUAUAUUAUAAUAAUUUUUUUUUACCAUACAUAAAUAACACAAGUGUUGAAAUGAACAAUCCUUUUUUUAAAAACAACAACAAUAACAACCACAACAACAAUAAUAAUAAUAGCAGUACUAGUAGUAGUAGUGUUGAUAAACAAGGUAUUAUAUCCAAUGUACCGCUUAAUUAUAAAAAAAUAAAUAUAAACAAGUAUACGAUGUAUAACGCAAUGCAAAACCCCUUGCAAAAUCCAUUACAAAAUCCGUUACAAAAUUCAUUGCAAAAUCCGUUACAAAAUUCUUUACAAAAUUCGUUACAAAAUCCUUUGCAAACUCCUUUGCAAACUCCUUUGCAAAACGCUAUAUACCCAAGUUGGGAAGAUAUGAGUAAAUAUAACGAAAUGUGUACCAACAUAAACAUUCAUGAAAAUAAAUUUCUUAAUAUGAAUCAUAUGACUGAUAAAGAACGAAAAAAACAAUUUGAAAAACAAGAACAAAGUAAUAUAAUAAGAAAUAAAAAUAAUCAACAAAUGACUAAAUUGUCAGAUUCACAACUGAAUUUAUCUACAAAUGAGAAUAUAGACGAUGGAUCACAAUGGGUAAGUAAUUGUAAUUUAAAUGAAAAUAUAAAUACCAUGUUAAAUAGCAAACAAUUUAAUAUUUUUUUAAAUAAUAAAAAAACAUAUAUUCAACGAAAUUCAAACAAUGCUUAUUAUCCGUUGACUGUAAAUAAUAAAUCAAGUGUAAAUAAAAAUAACCCAAUACAAAAUAAAAAAAAAGAUAUUUAUAAUAAUAUGAAUAAUUUGAUAGUACAGUCAAAUAAAGGUAAUAAUGUUAAUACAGUUUCUACCCCAACUGCUUCUUCUAUUUCUGCUUCUUCUAUUUCUGCUUCUUCUAUUUCUGCUUCUUCUCCUUCUGCUGCUAAUAUUAAUACUAACAACGUGUUUAAUACAAUUUGUAAAAACAGUUCGAGUUAUGUUUCAACAAAAAAUGGGGGUAUGAUACAUAUAGAAAAUAAUAAUAUUAACAAUGUAACUACAAGUAAUAACAAUGACAAAGAUACUGUAACUGUUGGUAAUGGUAGUAGUAGUACUAGUAGUAAUAGUGGUACUAGUAGUAAUAGUGGUACUAGUAGUAAAAGUAGUGGUAGUAAUAACAUGGGAAUUGUUAAAAGUAUUAGUAAUAAUAGUUUUGGUAGUACUGUAAACGAAUUUUGUUUUUUUAAACCAGGACAACCUAAUUUUGUUUAUAAUAAUAAAAACAAAAAAGAUUAUAAUAAAUAUUAUUUAAAUAAAAAAUGUGAUGUAAUAAAUAAAAUUCCUAACGAGAAUAUAAUGUAUCCUACAAAUUACAAUUCUAUUAUGAAUUAUCAUUAUAACAAUCAAAUAAAUACAAUUGAUGAUAUAAAAGCAAGUGUGUCAAUAGGACACCAAUCAGUAAAAGGUAUCGAUAUUAGUAAUGUAAAAACGCAUAUAAAAGUUGUUAAUAAUAGUGGUGGUACAAGUGUUAGUGCUACUGGUAGUGGUACUAGUGGUAACAGUAAUAAUAAUAGUACAAUUAAUAAAAUUAUAAAUGAAAAAAUUAUAAAU